rnacentral:rRNA from 1 species
AUACGUAGGGGGCGAGCGUUGUCCGGAAUGAUUGGGCGUAAAGGGCGCGUAGGCGGCCCGGUAAGUCUGGAGUGAAAGUCCUGUUUUUAAGAUGGGAAUUGCUUUGGAUACUGUCGGGCUUGAGUGCAGGAGAGGUAAGUGGAAUUCCCAGUGUAGCGGUGAAAUGCGUAGAGAUUGGGAGGAACACCAGUGGCGAAGGCGACGUACUGGACUGUAACGUGAGCUGAGGCGCGAAAGUGUGGGGAGCAAACAGGAUUAGAUACCCUGGUAGUCCACACUGUAAACGAGGAAUGCGAGGUGUAGGGGGUAUCGACCCCUUCUGUGCUGCAGUCAACACAAUAAGCAUUCCGCCUGGGGAGUACGGCCGCAAGGUUGAAACUCAAAGGAAUUGACGGGG